GGGGGUAGUAUUUAGUACGUAUGCGCCAGGGAUGGUAUGCAUCGUGCAUGCUGCUAUUAAGACCCAGCAGUAACUUUCGAAGAUUUUCUACCUCC
rfam:Glossina palpalis gambiensis isolate 146720 unplaced genomic scaffold Scaffold56, whole genome shotgun sequence.